UACGAAGGGGGCUAGCGUUGUUCGGAUUUACUGGGCGUAAAGCGCACGUAGGCGGAUUGUUAAGUCAGGGGUGAAAUCCUGGAGCUCAACUCCAGAACUGCCUUUGAUACUGGCAAUCUUGAGUCCGGAAGAGGUGAGUGGAACUGCGAGUGUAGAGGUGAAAUUCGUAGAUAUUCGCAAGAACACCAGUGGCGAAGGCGGCUCACUGGCCCGGUACUGACGCUGAGACGCGAAAGCGUGGGGAGCGAACAGG
rnacentral:rRNA from 1 species